AACGAACGCUGGCGGCAGGCUUAACACAUGCAAGUCGAACGCACCUUUCGGGGUGAGUGGCAGAUGGGUGAGUAACGCGUGGGAAUCUACCCUUCUCUACGGGAUAGCUCCGGGAAACUGGAAUUAAUACCGUAUACGUUCUGAGGGAGCAAGAUUUAUCGGGGAAGGAUGAGCCCGCGUUGGAUUAGCUAGUGGGUGGGGUAAAGGCCUACCAAGGCGACGAUCCAUAGCUGGUCUAAGAGGAUGAUCAGCCACAUUGGGACUGAGACACGGCCCAAACUCCUACGGGAGGCAGCAGUGGGGAAUAUUGGACAAUGGGCGCAAGCCUGAUCCAGCCAUGCCGCGUGAGUGAUGAAGUCCCUAGGGUUGUAAAGCUCUUUCAGUGGGGACGAUAAUGACGGUACCCAAAGAAGAAGCCCCGGCUAACUUCGUG
rnacentral:rRNA from 1 species